AUGUGGGGAGAGGGUAUGGUGCUAUCUUCUCUCCACAGGCUUUGCUGGAGAAGAAGCUGUUUUUCUUCAGAGACAAGGCAUGAAUAUAAACUGCAGCGUCCAUUCAACACAAAAGCGCAACGUGGUAACAGCAGCGUGGCAGGACUGCAGAGGGCGGUUCGGACCGCUGAGAUCAAGAAGCACUUGGGAAACAGCAGCGCUGCUGAGCCCGGAGCCCCGGGAGACUCCUUCCGCCCCUCCCGGUCGGUGAUCCCCAGUCCCGGAGCUUCCCGCUCGGGUCCUCAGCUGGAGAGGGGCCCGGGCGCCCGCACGUCUGAGCCCUGGGCCCCGCGACGGAGCUGGAGUGUGCCGCGCGCGCCCCUUCUCCCGGUCCUCCUCUCCCGGUUCCCGCAGCGGCCGGAGGCUCAGGGUCGGGCCUGGGGAGGCGAGCGGGCGGGGGCGCGCGCCCGUGGGUGGCCGCGUGCGAGGAGCGGGUGCAGUUUCUCCCUGCGGGGCCGAGCCAGGUCGGUCGGAAGCCCUUAGCCCGGCGGAGGGGCCGCUGUGCCGCCGCGCGAUUCCCGGGUCCUCCGCGUCUCUGGCCCGCGAUGCAUCGGAACCGUCUCUGGGGCACGGAGACCGCCCCGCUCUCUCCUCGCCGCCUCCCGGCUUCUCUGGGCGCACCCGGAUCCCAGGUUCCAGAGGCGUCCAGGGGCUCGGAGCUCCUGCGGGGACUGGACCCCAGAUCCCGCCCGGCCCCGGACCCUCCGUGCGCGUCGCCUGCCCCGCGGGCACGGCUUCCCCGAGCAGCCGGCUGAGCGGCAGCCCGAGCCGGGAAUAUGCGGCCGCUGGAGGUGCCGUCGGACGGGGACACGGGGCCGCCUCGGCUUCUGGCUCCGCCGGCCGCCCCGUCUGCAGCCCGAGGGCCGGGGGACACCAAGCGAGGCGGCUUGGCCGUCUGCCCGUGGAGCGCAGGGGCGGCCCCGAAACUAGGACUUGGGGUCAACUGCACGCGCGCCGCUUCUUUGAUCCAUGUCUCUGAUGUGAAAGAACCCAGAUUUCCGCCCUGGGCGGAAGAAAGGUUCUUUAUAAAUGUUUUGUAGAAGGCGUUCUUUCCCCGGCCAAAAUAAGCCGGUUGGUGACUUGAAAAGCCACUGUCACCCGCCCUGUUGGCGGUGAGCCUGAAGGGCAGGUCUGAGCCCGACCCCCUGUGGGUGCACAGAGCACAGAAGACUGCCAGACUGGGCUGGUCAUCAGCCGUCAGAGUCAGACUGUCAGGGCUGGACUCCAGCUCCAGGCCUGGGGCUGGAAAGGCGGCUUCUGUCCCUCUGGGCGCCUCAGCAGGUACUGACGACUUGAUGGGUGAGGAACUGUGCCCAGCAAGUAACUGCUGCUCAAAACUCAAUGGGCGCCAGCGCGCAGCAGGAAAGGGGGUACCGGACAGGGCAGCUUCACCCCCUGCUGGAGGCUGGGGACGCACAGAUGAGGUUGUUGCAGCAAAAACAGAAACGAAGUGUUUCCUCUCCUGAGAACAAGGAAAGUAAAC
rnacentral:lncRNA from 1 species